AUUGGACGCUGGCGGCAGGCCUAACACAUGCAAGUCGAACGGUAACAGGAAGAAGCUUGCUUCUUUGCUGACGAGUGGCGGACGGGUGAGUAAUGUCUGGGAAACUGCCUGAUGGAGGGGGAUAACUACUGGAAACGGUAGCUAAUACCGCAUAACGUCGCAAGACCAAAGAGGGGGACCUUCGGGCCUCUUGCCAUCGGAUGUGCCCAGAUGGGAUUAGCUAGUAGGUGGGGUAACGGCUCACCUAGGCGACGAUCCCUAGCUGGUCUGAGAGGAUGACCAGCCACACUGGAACUGAGACACGGUCCAGACUCCUACGGGAGGCAGCAGUGGGGAAUAUUGCACAAUGGGCGCAAGCCUGAUGCAGCCAUGCCGCGUGUAUGAAGAAGGCCUUCGGGUUGUAAAGUACUUUCAGCGGGGAGGAAGGGAGUAAAGUUAAUACCUUUGCUCAUUGACGUUACCCGCAGAAGAAGCACCGGCUAACUCCGU
rnacentral:rRNA from 1 species